rnacentral:rRNA from 1 species
UACGUAGGGUGCAAGCGUUGUCCGGAAUCAUUGGGCGUAAAGAGCGUGUAGGCGGCCUCGUAAGUCCGCUGUGAAAGUCCAGGGCUCAACCCUGGGAUGCCGGUGGAUACUGCGAGGCUAGAGUCCGGAAGGGGCGAGUGGAAUUCCUGGUGUAGCGGUGAAAUGCGCAGAUAUCAGGAGGAACACCAAUGGCGAAGGCAGCUCGCUGGGACGGUACUGACGCUGAGACGCGAAAGCGUGGGGAGCAAACAGG